rnacentral:lncRNA from 1 species
GAACAGACCCCGAGCGAGGCGAGGUAGAGCACGAACGAGGCGAAGCAGAUGAGAUUGAAGGCGGAUUUCAAUCUUCUGGGCUUUGGUUCUUUUCUUUUCGUUUCUUUUCUUUCGUUUUUCUGAUCUUUGUGGGUCUCUGAUUGUUGUUUUUUUAAGGGGUUCUUUGCUUCUUGCAGAAAUUGGUGGAAUGAUAUGGGGUUUAGGGUUUCUGCCGCUCCUUCAAUCAUCAGGAAUGUUUUCGUUUUGCUAAUUUCAGCUUUCACCCACUACCAUUGCAUGUUUUGUUCUCUGUCAUCUGAAUCCUUGAUCUUUCAACGUUUUAACUUAUAUUCGAUUAUCCAUCUUUAUUGUUUCAGAUUAAUCUGAACCAGAGCGUGUCAUUUCCGUCAAUCCGUCAUCAUCGUCCAGGUCUAGCGCUUCAACUCUUUUCUUUCUCUUUAUUGUUUCAGGUUUUUUCUUCCCUUUUUGUACUCUGUUGUUCUCUUUCAAUUAGAUUAGUUAAUUUCCAAAUUAAUUAUGUCUCUUACAAUUCUUUGAAAAUAUGAUUAUAAUUGUUACUACUGUUAAAAAAAGAGUGUAUAAUUGUUACUUUUCCAGGAUACAAAUCCAAAUACCCUGAGCUUCCUGGUGUGGAUUGUAUAUUAGGCUUCGUAAUGUUGCUUCCACGAAUCUAAUAAAUCAGUUUUACAUAACAAACAAGCUCAAUUCACCACACCACACCCUCAAUCAAUCCUCCAAUAUGGAACACAAACUCAAACCAUAAUUAGUCAAGGAUGAUUGAUUUGUUUAAACCAUCAUCAAGGGUCAGUGAGUAAUGGGUUUGGUUUGGCUUAGCAGAACCUGAUGUAUCCAAAUUACUGGGAAAUUUUCAAGAUUUCCCAGAAAAGUUUAUGAUCCAAAUUCUGUAACUUAACUUUGGUUUGUGUUUUUCACUGAUUCAGAAGAUGAUGUGAAAUGGAGGAUCAUUACCAUUUAAGGACACGUUGAGUUGAAUCAGGUAACGUCAUUUUCUUAUUGCCAAUAUAAUUCAUUAACGGCCCAUCUCUUUAAACUUUAAGGUUUUUUUUUUAAUGUGUUUAAAGAAUUUAUGAUGAAACCACGUUUUUUGACAUUGUUAGUUAUAGCACUUUUAAAAUUGAAUGAUUGAAGUAAGUUGUAACAACAGGGCAAAAGUGUCAUGCUAAGAAACUUUUGUUUAUGAAAUCAUGUGAAUUGUAGCAUUGAUUUGGAAAGCACUGUAGAUGUUUCAUGUAAAAAGCUGUAGUUGCAGAUGUAAAUUUAAUUGGUGAAGGUCUGAAUGAGUGGCAGCGGCGCGAAGGAAGACAGGAUGGCUGGAUCGAAAUGCAACGGGACCAGCGAAAUGAGUUUCUGCAGCCCCAUUCCAUUGAGAGAAGAUCCUCAAUCAGGUAAGACAUAUUUUUCCUCCUCACUAAUUUGUAUCUUUGCAGUUACAUUUUAGCUUUUGCUACAAACUCUCUGUGUGUUUCUCUUCGUACAAUGCAACUCAUGCUGCAUUUCUUCCACAGGUUGAACAAUGAUGUGUACGGAACUUUGGACACUCAUUUUCAUUUUGCCAUUCAGAACCUCUUCUCCUCUGCCGCUCAGCUAAGCCCACCAUCUGAUUACGUCGUCAAGGUCUUCCUUCUGAUGAGAUCGACGAUCAAUUUCGUUCUUAGUUAAGUGGUUUUUUGUGCACUAGCUUGCUUGGCUUCUUCCCACAUCUAUGUGUUUCAAUCUCUAUCUCUGUAAAUAGUGUUGCUUUUAUUUUUUAACUGUGCAAGUUGGGUACUGAGUGAUAUCUUUGAAAAGUUUUAAAUUUACAUUUCUCUCAUUACUUUGUGCUUAUAGUUUUCCUUUUUCAUUUCUCUCAUGGUAUAUAACUAAAAGCCAUUUUGUCAUUUGGAACUCAAGGAUGAUUAUGACAUUGGAGAAUGUAAGGCCCAAGUUUUAACGCUUUGGAUAAGUGAAUAAAAUAAAAGAGUUUAUUUGAUUAAGAUAAAUUUGUGAAGGAAAAAGGUUCAGGAAAAGUCCAAGAAUUAUCGAAAAACCGAUAAGAGUUAUAGCACGACUAACAUACGCUUAAUCCUAGGUCAAAGGUAUUAGUGAAUAGUUAAUUUACGCUUUAGGACACGAUGGAAACUAAUUCCAAAAAUCCUCAGAGAAAUGUUAGAACUUCUCUUUUCCGUCCUUAAACAAUUAUUUCGAUGCGAAAUCCUGGAAAGUACGAACGUCAAAUUCCAAUUCUCGGAAGUUUGCCGAAACGGAAUCCUUGAUAGUUCGAGAAACCUAAGAUCGACAGACGAUGAAGACUUUUUCUAUUCGGAGCUGCAAAUGAAGAUUCCACCCGCGUUCUCCUAUUUCUUUCGUUAAUCCCAAUCUUUCUUCAGAAGGAAGUUUUCUCAUCCGACGAUCACUGCAAAAAGUAGUUUUUCGGGAUAAACCGACUUACACCGACUUAUGCCGAUUUUGGAUCUUUUGGUUUAAUUCCAAGAAUCCUGUUUUGAGUUCUGGAAUUCUGUUGCCAGAACCAAUCUUAGAAUUCGCAGAGGAACGCGCAGGAAAAAUCGGAACCGCGAAAAAAUCAUUUUUCCGCUUUUUCCAAAACCUAUAAAUAGCUUGAAAAUUAGAUUUUUUGCAAAAAAAUACCCAUUUCCCCUCCCCAAACCCGCGAGCACCUAGAGAGAGAGAGAGAGAAUCUGGAUCUUCGUCGUUUCUUGCCCGUUUGCUUCACCGAUCGUCGCUAAUCGAAGACCUCGAGGUAGGUAAACUAUACUCUCCUUCGAAUCGUCGUUUCUGUCCACUUCUCCUACGUCUUUCUGAGUUCAAAAUUUUGAGGUUUUUGAAAAACUGUCCAAAUAAGCUGAUAUCAGCGUCUAAACUUCUUCCCUGCAUGCUCCUGAGCGUGUUCUGCGGAUUAGAUUUUGUCAAAUGUCGACGAAAUGCCGCCGGGAUCAAUUUCUACCUUAAAUACCCAUUUUUCGGUAAAGUCGCAACCUUUAAGCUCUAAUCUAUCGACUUGGCUUAGUGCUAGUAGGAUUUGUCGUCAUAAACGUCGUUGUGGACGUCUCCAUCCAAUCUGUUUUUCAAAAAUCCAGUUUUGAAAUUCUGAGCUAAAAAUAAUGACCAAACUACCCCUAUAUCAGUUUUCGAUCCGAAAAUUUUUCCGAGCCUAGAACCGUCUUAGUUACGGCUUAUGUUAACCUAGGAACCAAGUUUGAUCGAAGAAAAAUCGACCCUCCCAAUUAAAGGAAGUGGCCGAGAGCUAUAUCAAGGGGGGGAAGAAUCCGAUUUUUCGAAAACUUGUCUUAACGCGUUAGAUUGUCGUACCACGGAGGUUGUAGUGUACCGUGUGACCCUAGGACUCUUUGAUUGCUGAGUUUCUGACUCUUGGUGUUGAUUUCUGUGAUUUCUGCUUAAGGUUCUUUUGAGGAGAUUCUUGGAGAACAAGGAGAAGAGCGUGAAGGACACUUGGAGGAGGAAGCUGGAAGACCCACCGGUGAGGGCUACUCUCUGAAUUACUAGAUAAUGCUUUAGGGGUCGACAAAUUCGACUUGAUUUAUGUGUUAUGCACUAAAUUGCUAAAUGUCUGAAUUGUUCUCUGAGGCUUCGGCCGACCUUGCUGAGUAUUUGAUGCCAUGAUAUUGUGUGCUAAAUGAUUCACAUGCUACGUGCUACAUGGUUAACUUAGGAUGUGUUGGAAUAUGCUGUUUAUGCUUUUGGCUGAGCUGUUUUAUUUAUGCUAUUCCACUUAUACAUGAGAUUCUGAGGAGUGAGGAUUACGGGCAGGUCAUGCCAAAUUUUUAUGAGAUUUUGAGAGAGUUUUAAAGGACGAACGGAGUUCGGACCUUGUUAUGUUUUAAUGGAUCGAGACCUUCUCAGGGAAUUAUUUGAGAUUGUGGGAUCUCUGAAAACUCUUAGGAAGUAUUAUAAGAUUAAAAUGAAAACUAUUUUAUCACGGAAAACCCAUAAGACAUUAAUCAAUUUCUAAAUUCUUUGAACAAUAAUAAUACCCUUAGAUAAGAGCUUAGAGCCUGAAUAUUAGUUUGGGAAAUAUGAGAAGUGUCGUCGAGUCCACGUUUUGAGGAAAUAUACAAGUCUUCGAGUAUGUUGAAAACUCUUUUGCUCGAUGAGCAGUUUAAUGUUUGGCUAUCUAAAGUUUAGCCGGAGACUAUGAGUUUCCAAGUACUUCGGUACCUUUUCGCUCGAUGAGCAGUUUAUUGAUUGGCUAUCUAAAGUUUAGCUGGGAACCAUGAGUUCCAAAGCAUCUUUUCUUCUUUUGAUUAAUUCAUUUUUGUCGCAGAAUCGACAUUUGCCUUAGGGUAUUUUUUUUAGAGACCUUAAGUUACUUAGAACACGUGGCGACGUGUCGGGUGAGGUCGGAGACGUUGUUUGGCUAAUCACUUGCAUUCAUGCACUCAUUUUGAGGUUAAUACACGGCGUGAUACCGGACCUCGGUGGAUUCCAAAAUGGUCAUAAGACCCGGAUUUCCAUAUUUAGGACACUACGGUGGUCCUCAGUAGCAGACGGAAUGGCAGACCUACGGGUUCACUGCUAAUCUGACUACUUUUGUGUGGUGUAAGAGACACGCGAGCAGGAAGGUACCCACCGUGGCUGGUGUUAGGGCCGCCUCGUUGAUGUCCAUCCUUCUUCCGGAAUGCAUUUUGUUACCCAGCAUUGCAUUUCAUGCAACAUACAUGCUGACUUAGUUGCUGAGUGUGAUUGGUACCUGUUUAUCAUAUUUGAGGCAUGCUAUUUGUUAUUAUGAUUUCUUAUAUUCAUUAUGAUACUUGCAACCCUAGGAAGUCAUCCCUAAAAUUAUAAGCCUGAGAGGCAAAUAUUUAUUAUCCUAUAUUAUAUCUGGUUUUAUUAUUUAUAUAAUUCUUUGGAGUUGACCCUCGCGUCUGCUGUGUGUGUUUGGGCGGACUACGCCAUUUGUCAGAUGAGUAUGGCGGAUUGGUUUACGAUGGUCAGCCCCUCGGGGGGGACCAGGUACGAGAUGCUUGAUCAGGACGACCCAGGUGCAUGGGUGGUCGACCCCAUAGGCCACUGUGCGACCUACACCGGUCGGAUCAUGGAGGACCGUGUUGACCGAUUCGGACGCUUGACGGAGGGGGUGAUGAGGAGACACAUAGUGAGCUUCAACUUGCCGCCUGGUGUGCAUUGUGGACCCGGCUUGGGAGGACCACCACCACCACCAUCUUCGGAUGAGGAGGACCCCUCUGAGGAGGUGCCAGUGGGUGAGGUUUCGAUGGAGUCUAGUCCGUCUACUGUUGCUGCUGUCGUCGCGGAUCUCGUUCCGGGCCCCGAGCCCGAGAGGCCAGUGCAGGAGCGCAUCAGGGUGGACAGAGAGGGCAGCGUUGUGUAUGUCGACCUAGUCGUCCUGGAUGUAGAUUCGGACGACGACCGCGCUAGCAUGUAGGAUCGAGUGCUAGGGUGGGCUCCUCGAGUAGGGAUUAGUGUAGGAGUUGUGUCGAUGCUCUGACCGUCAUGUUUUCAGUUUUGGGACAGGGUAGUUCCUGCCGGUAGCUUUUUGUGUGGUUUUCUUAUGAAGAUCACAGAGAGCUGGUUGGACUAGGGAGGUCUUUUCUUUAGGCCACUGGGCCAAUUUGUUCUCAGUUUUUGAGGUAGGGUGUUGCGGACACAGGUUACCUUGGUUUGUACAUAUUGCCUUCGGGCGUUACUUUCUUCCGUCACCCGUCGCUUGAGGUUACUCGCGAUGUGGCUGGUACUAGUGUGGGCAUGUAUAUAUUUAUGUAGAUGUAUAUUAGUUUUCUUUUACCUUUUGUCGAGAAGUUUAUUUUCUUUCAGUCUUUCAUUUUAUUAUCAAAAAAAAAUAAUUCACGUUUUUCCGCUUAAGUUAUUUCUUUGGUUACUAAAGUGACGCCACCGAAAUCGGGGUGUUACAGAGAAUGGCCAUCAUUGGCAAAAGAAUGUGCUAUAUAUUGGAUUAGUUUAUAUUUGCCUUUUUGGCUAGGGUAAAAUUAAAAGGGAUUUGUUGAAUAUCGAGCUAAGCUACAGGUUGAGUUUCAAAAGGAAGUUUCAGAUAUAACACUAUUAUUCUAUUUGUUAAAUGCAGCUACUAAACUAUCCUUUUAUCUGAUUCUGACAUGAUGCAUUCACUCAUUUCCUUCAUGCUUUACCAUGAAUACGGAGUAACAGAGAUUUUGGAGCUUAUAAUGUCAAGCGACUUAAGCAAGAGAUUGAAGCAAAAAUCCAGUGCUUGAAAACAGAAGCUGCAAUAAUAUCGAAUGAUGUGUUAGAGGACAAAUGUGUUGUCCUUGAAAGCAAAGUAUGAUGAUAUUGACAUUUCAUGUUAUGUUUGGCGUUCGCAAACUCAAACUGUCAAUUUUAAAAAGCUUUUUCCUAAAAGCUAUUAAAAUAAUAUUGCUACUAUUUCUUCCUUGGCUUUUGUGUGAGUUGGAGUAUACUUGAAUAUAUAGGUCCAUCAUUCUUGGUUAAGAAAAUAAAUCAAUUUUGAUCUUGAGAUUGUCAACUGAAGAAGAAAGAAGCUUAAUGGAAGAAGAGAGCAGGUGCCCUUGAAAGAAAGGUAUCGUCAUAUUGACAUGCAUGUUUGUUUGGCGUUUCCAAAGCCCCAAAUCAUGGUUUGAAAAAAGUGUGUUUGCAUGUUUGUUUGGCGUUUCCAAAGCCCCAAAUCAUGGUUUGAAAAAAGUGUGUUUCCCAUAGCUUUUAUAUUUAUCGCAACAUUUCUUCUUGCCUUUGUGACGGUUGGAUUAUCCUUGAAUAGACUAUGUUAUAUUUCCUUCAUUCUUGGUUAAGAAAAUAUAUGCCAAUUAUGUUCUCAGGUGUUGAUUGUCGCAAGAGAGAAGUUGAAUGGAAGAAGAGAGAAUCUGCAUUGCAUCUUGAAGUUAAGAACCUCACAGAGGUAUCCUUUAUGAAUGGGUUCUGCCCAGGUUAGAGCUGGCUGAGAGAAGAACG